rnacentral:rRNA from 1 species
AAGAUGGGCAUGCGUGUCAUUAGCUAGUUGGUAAGGUAACGGCUUACCAAGGCGACGAUGACUAGGGGAUCUGAGAGGAUGACCCCCCACACUGGUACUGAGACACGGACCAGACUCCUACGGGAGGCAGCAGUAAGGAAUAUUGGUCAAUGGAGGCAACUCUGAACCAGCCAUGCCGCGUGCAGGAAGACUGCCCUAUGGGUUGUAAACUGCUUUUAUACGGGAAUAAACCUAUCUACGAGUAGAUAGCUGAAUGUACUGUAAGAAUAAGGAUCGGCUAACUCCGUGCCAGCAGCCGCGGUAAUACGGAGGAUCCAAGCGUUAUCCGGAUUUAUUGGGUUUAAAGGGAGCGUAGGCGGCCGUUUAAGUCAGAGGUGAAAACUUGCAGCUCAACUGUAAGCUUGCCUUUGAUACUGAAUGGCUUGAAUGAACUUGAGGUAGGCGGAAUGUGACAAGUAGCGGUGAAAUGCAUAGAUAUGUCACAGAACACCAAUUGCGAAGGCAGCUUACUAAGGUUUAAUUGACGCUGAGGCUCGAAAGCGUGGGGAUCAAACAGGAUUAGAUACCCUGGUAGUCCACGCCCUAAACGAUGAUAACUCGAUGUUGGCGAUAUACAGUCAGCGUCCAAGCGAAAGCGUUAAGUUAUCCACCUGGGGAGUACGCCCGCAAGGGUGAAACUCAAAGGAAUUGACGGGGGCCCGCACAAGCGGAGGAGCAUGUGGUUUAAUUCGAUGAUACGCGAGGAACCUUACCCGGGCUUGAAAGUUAGUGAAUGAAUCAGAGAUGAUUCAGUGGUUUACCACACGAAACUAGGUGCUGCAUGGCUGUCGUCAGCUCGUGCCGUGAGGUGUUGGGUUAAGUCCCGCAACGAGCGCAACCCCUAUGUUUAGUUGCCAGCAUGUAAAGAUGGGGACUCUAAACAGACUGCCUGUGCAAACAGAGAGGAAGGAUGGGACGACGUCAAGUCAUCAUGGCCCUUACGUCCGGGGCUACACACGUGCUACAAUGGAUGGUACAGAGGGCAGCUACUUAGCGAUAAGAUGCCAAUCUCAAAAAGCCAUUCACAGUUCGGAUCGGGGUCUGCAACUCGACCCCGUGAAGUUGGAUUCGCUAGUAAUCGCGUAUCAGCAAUGACGCGGUGAAUACGUUCCC